CCUACGGGAGGCAGCAGUGAGGAAUAUUGGUCAAUGGACGAGAGUCUGAACCAGCCAAGUAGCGUGAAGGAUGACUGCCCUAUGGGUUGUAAACUUCUUUUAUAUGGGAAUAAAAUGUUCCACGUGUGGGCUUUUGUAUGUACCCUAUGAAUAAGGAUCGGCUAACUCCGUGCCAGCAUCCGCGGUAAUACGGAGGAUCCGAUCGUUAUCCGGCUUUAUUGGGUUUAAAGGGGGCGUCGGUGGAUUGUUAAGUCAGUUGUGAAAGUUUGCGGCUCAACCGUAAAAUUGCAGUUGAAACUGGCAGGCUUGAGUACAGUAGAGGUGGGCGGAAUGCGUGGUGUAGCGGUGAAAUGCUUAGAUAUCACGAAGAACUCCGAUUGCGAAGGCAGUUCACUGGACUGCAACUGACACUGAGGCUCGAAAGUGUGGGUAUCAAACAGGAUUAGAUACCCUGGUAGUC
rnacentral:rRNA from 1 species